UACAUGCAUGUCGAGCGCUGAGGGUUGGUACUUGGACCAACUGGAUGACCAACGAAUGGUGGACUAAAGCGUGUGGAAUCUGCCUUUGAGCGGGGGACAACAUUUGGAAACAAACGCUAAUACCGCAUAAAAACUUUAUGCACAAGUUUUAAGUUUGAAAGAUGCAAUUGCAUCACUCAAAGAUGAUCCCGCGUUGUAUUAACUUCUUGGUGAGGUAAAGGCUCACCAAGGUUGAUGAUACAUAGCCGACCUGAGAGGGUGAUCGGCCACAUUGGGACUGAGACACGGCCCAAACUCCUAGGGGAGGCAGAAGUAGGGAAUCUUCGGCAAUGGACGAAAGUCUGACCGAGCAACGCCUGGUGAGUGAAGAAGAUUUUCGGAUCGUAAAACUCUGUUGAUAGAGAACAACUCUGGUGAGAGUGUUGAGCUCAUCAAGUGACGGUGACUACCCUGUUGGGACGGCUAACUACGUGCCAGCACCGCGGUAAUACACUACGUCCCGAGCGUUGUCCGGAUUUAUUGGGCGUAAAGCGAGCGCAGGAUGUUUUUAUUAAGUCUGGUGUAAAAGGCAGUGUCUCAACCAUUGAAUGCAUUGCAAACUGGUAGACUUGAGUGCAGGA
rnacentral:rRNA from 1 species